CUGUGCCUCCUGAUUGCUGAGUGUUCGCCUGGACCUUCUGACCACCUUCCUUCUGCUAGACCAUCAGCCUACAGACCUGGUACCUGGAUUUUUGCUCAUGGUGAUUC
rfam:Ictidomys tridecemlineatus contig103449, whole genome shotgun sequence.